rnacentral:rRNA from 1 species
CUGCCCUUUACUCGGGGAUAGCCUUUCGAAAGAAAGAUUAAUACCCGAUAGCAUAAUGAUUCCGCAUGGUUUCAUUAUUAAAGGAUUCCCGGUAAAGGAUGGGGAUGCGUUCCAUUAGGUUGUUGGUGAGGUAACGGCUCACCAAGCCUUCGAUGGAUAGGGGUUCUGAGAGGAAGGUCCCCCACAUUGGAACUGAGACACGGUCCAAACUCCUACGGGAGGCAGCAGUGAGGAAUAUUGGUCAAUGGGCGCUAGCCUGAACCAGCCAAGUAGCGUGAAGGAUGAAGGCUCUAUGGGUCGUAAACUUCUUUUAUAUAAGAAUAAAGUGCAGUAUGUAUACUGUUUUGUAUGUAUUAUAUGAAUAAGGAUCGGCUAACUCCGUGCCAGCAGCCGCGGUAAUACGGAGGAUCCGAGCGUUAUCCGGAUUUAUUGGGUUUAAAGGGAGCGUAGGUGGACUGGUAAGUCAGUUGUGAAAGUUUGCGGCUCAACCGUAAAAUUGCAGUUGAUACUGUCAGUCUUGAGUACAGUAGAGGUGGGCGGAAUUCGUGGUGUAGCGGUGAAAUGCUUAGAUAUCACGAAGAACUCCGAUUGCGAAGGCAGCUCACUGGACUGCAACUGACACUGAUGCUCGAAAGUGUGGGUAUCAAACAGGAUUAGAUACCCUGGUAGUCCACACAGUAAACGAUGAAUACUCGCUGUUUGCGAUAUACAGUAAGCGGCCAAGCGAAAGCAUUAAGUAUUCCACCUGGGGAGUACGCCGGCAACGGUGAAACUCAAAGGAAUUGACGGGGGCCCGCACAAGCGGAGGAACAUGUGGUUUAAUUCGAUGAUACGCGAGGAACCUUACCCGGGCUUAAAUUGCAGUGGAAUGAUGUGGAAACAUGUCAGUGAGCAAUCACCGCUGUGAAGGUGCUGCAUGGUUGUCGUCAGCUCGUGCCGUGAGGUGUCGGCUUAAGUGCCAUAACGAGCGCAACCCUUAUCUUCAGUUACUAACAGGUUAUGCUGAGGACUCUGGAGAGACUGCCGUCGUAAGAUGUGAGGAAGGUGGGGAUGACGUCAAAUCAGCACGGCCCUUACGUCCGGGGCUACACACGUGUUACAAUGGGGGGUACAGAAGGCAGCUAGCGGGUGACCGUAUGCUAAUCCCAAAAGCCUCUCUCAGUUCGGAUCGAAGUCUGCAACCCGACUUCGUGAAGCUGGAUUCGCUAGUAAUCGCGCAUCAGCCACGGCGCGGUGAAUACGUUCCCGGGCCUUGCACUCACCGCCCGUA